CGUGUAGGCGGCCACACAGGUCCGCUGUGAAAACUCGAGGCUCAACCUCGAGCUGUCGGUGGAAACCGUGUGGCUAGAGUCCGGAAGAGGAGAGUGGAAUUCCCGGUGUAGCGGUGAAAUGCGCAGGUAUCGGGAAGAACACCCGUGGCGAAGGCGGCUCUCUGGGACGGUACUGACGCUGAGACGCGAAAGCGUGGGGAGCGAACA
rnacentral:rRNA from 1 species